UUUUUAGUGUAAGUAUGCCCUGUGUAAUAUCUGGGACAUACUUGUGCUAAAA
rfam:Felis catus isolate Cinnamon breed Abyssinian chromosome B3, whole genome shotgun sequence.